AAAAAAUGUCGCAAUACACCAUUCAACCUUCCAUAAACAACAGCGUAGAAAGAAAACCAUCUUCUGUAAAUUCACUCGACCAACAAUAAUUUUCUUUUUCUUAAAAGAUAAAAGUAAAGACGAAGAAUUCAGCGGUGUUGAUGAGGGGUUUACGGAGGUUGAUAGCAGGGCAUCUUCUUCGCCGGAGAUCGGAACCCUACAUCCACAACGGUGCUUCACGCCGUCUAUUAUCCGUUUCAUAUUCGAAUAAUGUUAUCUCUCGUUUCACUUCUCCAGCUUCUACAUCUGUUGUUUCUUCUUCGUACGCGUCAUCUGGAUUAUGCAAUUUUUUAGGGCAGAGGAGGACCAUGUUUAUCGAAACACAAUCCACUCCGAACCCGUUAUCCUUAAUGUUUUAUCCCGGGAAGCCCGUGAUGGAAGUCGGGAGUGCAGACUUCCCAAACGCUCGUACGGCUAUGGGUUCACCACUAGCAAAGACCCUCUACGAAGUCGACGGAAUUACUCGCGUGUUCUUCGGUUCAGAUUUUGUAACCGUAACAAAGUCAGAAGACGUUUCUUGGGAUCUUCUAAAACCUGAAAUAUUUGCAGCAAUUAUGGAGUUUUACUCAUCAGGGAAGCCGCUGUUUCUGGACUCUGCUACUUCUGCUUCUACGGACACAGCUAUUCACGAAGAUGACUCCGAAACUGUUGCAAUGAUUAAAGAAUUGCUGGAAACUCGUAUACGACCUGCUGUACAGGAUGAUGGUGGGGAUAUUGAGUACAUUGGAUUUGACCCAGAAUCUGGAGUUGUGAAGCUAAAAAUGCAAGGAGCAUGUAGCGGGUGUCCUAGCUCAUCUGUCACUCUGAAAUCAGGCAUCGAGAAUAUGUUGAUGCAUUAUGUGCCAGAGGUUAAAGCUGUGGAGCAGGAGUUUGAUAUUGAAGAUGAAGAAUGAAGAUGAUAAUGGAGAUCCUCGAGCCAACUGGACUAAGUUCAUGUGUCGCAGGGUUCUCGAGAUCAUUGGAGAUGGAAUCUUGAUUUUAAGGCUGGACUAAAUAAAUGGUAUGCUAAAGCUUUUGAGGGAGUUGUAUUCAUGGCAGGCAGCAAGGUGAGAAGAUGGUUUGAUCAUGAGGAGGAGCAUCGAAUGGAUUGCAGGUCCGUCUGAUACUGCUGGCAAUUAAUUAGUUUAGCUUAUUUAUCUUCUUUGGUGCUAUUAGAUGUUGCUUUUGUGACCUGAUCAAGUCUCUCCCUUAGGAUACAUGUAAUGAGUUAUUGCUCUCCCUUUGAGGUUUUGAUUAUAAACUUUGCUUUGCAUUUUAUAAAAGAACUACAACAUACUGAAACUAAAAAAGAUAUAAAAAAGCAAUUAGUAAGCAGUGACAGAGAUGAUUUGUGCUCGUUGAA